rnacentral:rRNA from 1 species
UACAGAGGGGGCCAGCGUUAUUCGGAAUUAUUGGGCGUAAAGGGCGCGUAGGCGGCCAUGCGUGUCUUCCGUGAAAUCCCUCGGCUCAACUGAGGAACUGCACGGGAAACUGCCUGGCUUGAGUUCGGGAGAGGGAAGCGGAAUUCCGGGUGUAGCGGUGAAAUACGUAGAUAUCCGGAGGAACACCGGUGGCGAAGGCGGCUUCCUGGACCGACACUGACGCUGAGGCGCGAAAGCUAGAGGAGCAAACGGG